ensembl:lncRNA
AUAGAAUCCUUGGAGUCAGAAGGGACCUCUGAAGGCCAUCUAGUCCAGCUCCCCUGCAAUGAACAGGGACACCGCAGCUAUAUCAGGUUGCCCAGAGCCUUAUCCAGCCUCGCCUUGAAAGUCUCCAGGGAUGGAGCAUCAAUCACAGCACUAGAUUCACUUUCUGUGAUUUAUGGCACCAGGGAGAGCUGGAUUUUGUGUCCUGAGGUGCCACUAGAAGGGUCUUCAGGAGUUUAUGAAACCUCCAGCACGCCUGACUUUGAGGUGCUUUUCUGCUGGAUGUGCUCUACCUCACUGCUUUGCCAUGAAACACUAGGGAUUUGGGGGCUGUCUCUGGGCAGCUUCCAAGGCUUUAGAGUCCCUGUGUUUUACAGGCAACCCAUGAAGCUUGUGUGGUGCCCCAGUUUUGAUGGAGAAAUAUGACCCUCACGCACUGCCUGCAGCUCAGGACAGGAUGGCCAUGUAGUCCCCCUGAACUCACCAGUACCCAAUGCGUGAAGAGUGCUGCUCCCUGCCCAGUGGAUGUGCCUUGAAGAGGGACCUUUUAUGCACACUUGUUGCUAAUCUGAAUCAAGCAAGACAAGGUGGCAGAAAAAACAAAAAUGAUGUUUCCUACAGUUACUCUGGUCUGAGCUCUG